rnacentral:rRNA from 1 species
AUUGAACGCUGGCGGCAGGCCUAACACAUGCAAGUCGAGCGGAUGAAGGGAGCUUGCUCCUGGAUUCAGCGGCGGACGGGUGAGUAAUGCCUAGGAAUCUGCCUGGUAGUGGGGGAUAACGUCCGGAAACGGGCGCUAAUACCGCAUACGUCCUGAGGGAGAAAGUUGGGGAUCUUCGGACCUCACGCUAUCAGAUGAGCCUAGGUCGGAUUAUCUAGUUUGUGGGGUAAAGACCUACCAAGGCGACGAUCCGUAACUGGUCUGAGAGGAUGAUCAGUCACACUGGAACUGAGACACGGUCCAGACUCCUACGGGAGGCAGCAGUGGGGAAUAUUGGACAAUGGGCGAAAGCCUGAUCCAGCCAUGCCGCGUGUGUGAAGAAGGUCUUCGGAUUGUAAAGCACUUUAAGUUGGGAGGAAGGGCAGUAAGUUAAUACCUUGCUGUUUUGACGUUACCAACAGAAUAAGCACCGGCUAACUUCGUG